GGGUGCUGGCAAAUUCCAUAAUGGAGCAUUGUGCAGUCAUUAAAACUGAGGCUUGGCUGGGCACAGUGGCUCACACCUGUAAUCCCAGCACUUUGGGAGGCCAAAGCAGUCGGACCAUGAGGUCAGGAGUCCGAAACCAGCCUGGCCAGCAUGGGGAAAUCCCGUCUCUACUAAAAAUACAAAAGAAUUAGUCGGGCAUGGUGGCACACACCUGUAAUCCCAGCUACUUGUGAGGCUGAGGCAGGAGAAUUGCUUGACCCCGGGAGGUGGAGCUUGCAGUGAGCCGAGAUCGCGCCACUGUACUCUAGCCUGGGUGACAGAGCAAGACUCCAUCUCAAAACAAAACCAAAAAAACAGACAACAACAAUAACAAAAAGCUGAGGCUUAGGCCAGGCUUGGUGGCUCAUGCCUGUAAUCUCAGCACUUUGGGAGGCCGAGAUGGGAGGAUCGCCUGAGGUCAAGAGUUUGAGACCAGCCUGGGCAAACUCAAUUAAAACAAACAAAAAAAGUUAUCUGGGCAUCGUGGUGCACGCCUGUAGUCUCAGCUAUUCGGGAGGCUGAGGUGGGAGGAUUGCUUGAGCCCAGGACUUACAGGCUGAAGCGAAACACAAGCAUGCCACUGCACUGUAGCCCAGAGGACAGAUUAAGACCUUGUCUAAAAAAAAAAAAAGCUUAGAAUUACAAACAUAAGAAAACAUAAAAUAAAAUUUUGACACAUUGAAAAAAAGGAAUUACCAACAUAGAAAGGUGUUUGAGAAAUACUGUUAAUUAAACAAGACGGGUACAUCUGCGUGAAUGUAGGAAGGAAGCGUAGCCGGAUUAUGAAAUGCACGAACGCCCUGGGAGGGAUGAGUUUUCCCACACUUUGCUCUUUGGGCUGUGGGGUUGUAGUGAUUUUCUUCUUUUUGCCAAUCUGUAGGUUUCCAGUGUCUGCUCCCUGGGUAUGCAUUUGGGAAGUUCAAAAAAAUUCUGUGGCUGUUGAGUCAACCAACCCUCCUCCUCCCUGGUUCUUGAGGCUUUGCAACAGUUGGGCUCCCACCAAUCUGCCCUACCACUAACUGAUCCGCCACCGCUCCGUGGCACGAACAAUGACCGUGGCCUAAGCACUGGUUGCCGCAUUGCUCUCCAGCCUUUCCAACCUUCCCGUCAAGCCCCUCUUCCUCUCACAGAGCCUCCCAGGUGCACCUGGUGGGCAGGUAUCUCUCCUCCAGCCGCCUUCCCCCUGGCUUGAAAGUGCCUUCCUUAUUACCUACACCAUCCUUUCACUUACCCAGCGUGUGGCUUCUCUCUCCUAGCAGGUUGUAAAUUUCCUGGGCCUGCAGACUGAGCC
rnacentral:lncRNA from 1 species